AGUGAACGCUGGCGGCAGGCCUAACACAUGCAAGUCGAGCGGCAGCGGGUCCUUCGGGCUGCCGGCGAGCGGCGGACGGGUGAGGAAUGCAUCGGAAUCUGCCCUGUCGUGGGGGAUAACCUAGGGAAACUUAGGCUAAUACCGCAUACGACCCACGGGUGAAAGCCGGGGAUCGCAAGACCUCGCGCGAUAGGAUGAGCCGAUGUCCGAUUAGCUAGUUGGCGGGGUAAAGGCCCACCAAGGCGACGAUCGGUAGCUGGUCUGAGAGGAUGAUCAGCCACACUGGGACUGAGACACGGCCCAGACUCCUACGGGAGGCAGCAGUGGGGAAUAUUGGACAAUGGGCGCAAGCCUGAUCCAGCCAUGCCGCGUGGGUGAAGAAGGCCUUCGGGUUGUAAAGCCCUUUUGUCCGGGAAGAAAUCGUCUGGGCUAAUACCCCGGGCGGAUGACGGUACCGGAAGAAUAAGCACCGGCUAACUUCGUG
rnacentral:rRNA from 1 species